AUAAAUUUGGAACACCUAAAAUUUAAAAAUUAAUAUUUUUGGUCGAAUAAGAAUAUUUCCGAUAUUUUUUCUUGUUGUAAUUUAUUUUUCUUUUAUUAAUUCAUUAAUAAAGGUUUUUUUAUAUUAUUUCUAUUAAUUAUAAUUAUUAUUAUAAUCUUUGCUGGUUUUUAUUUUGGUUUGGCAUUUUUUAAUUUAUAAUUAUUAUUAUAAUUUCCAAAUUAGUUAGUUAACUUUUGUUUAAUUACACAUAUUUAUAUUUUUCAAUCCAAACGAUUAAUUUUAGAAACCGGGUUAUUUACUUAUAAAUUUUAUACUGGUAAACUAUUAUUUAUUUACUGGUAGUUUAUAUAUAACAUUUCUGGUAUUAAUACAGCUAAAAUAUUUCAGUUUUAAGUGGACAUUGUUUUAUUUUCUUUAUUUAAUAUAGUUGUAUAAAUGUUUAAAGAACCGUUGUAAGCUUUCCCAUUUUCAACGUCAAAUAUUGCUACGAUUUAAUGUAAAUAUACGCUAUUAUUAUACCGCCGGCGGUUAUUAUUUCAACCCAAUUGCAAUUUUACGCAAUAUUAAUAAUAGUUGCCGUAAAUAAAUCCAGUUCCAAAUUCGUGGAUAUUAUAUUUAUUACGAUUUAUUUAAUUUUUCAAAUCCGCGAGACCAAAUAACUAGACGAAGUUAGUAACGCAGGAAAAAUAUUUAACCGGUAAUAUAUAAACAAAAUUACUAAUAAUAAUUUCGAUUUGAGUAAAGAUUUCCAAGAAGUAUUUAUUUAUAUAAAGAUUAUUGUAACAUUUUUUAUUUAUUAUAUUUAUGUUUAACGCUUAUAUUAAUUGAGAAACUGUUAAAAAACUAGUAUGUUCAAAGGUAAUAAUACCUAAUAAAUUAAGCGGUCGGUAUUAUAUUUCACAGUUAAUAUAUUUAUAACAAAUAAUUAGAAACAAAAUUUAACAUUUCUGUUAACAUAUAUUUGUAACGCACCGUAUAUUUCGUUUUAUGUUUGGAAAUUACCGGCGUAUAAGUACUAUAAUACCAAUCCUUAAUAAUAUUAAAUAUAUAAUUAGUUUUAAUAUAUUUAUAUAUAGUAAACCUUUUUAUUUUUUUUCCAACUCAAAAAUAUAAAUUAGGAAAGUAUAUUAUCUGUUAUUUAUAUUUGGAAUUCUCAUUUUAUUUUUAUUAUUUGAAAUCUCAAAUAUAAUUUUAAACUUUCCCUGUUAAAAUUCGAAUCGAUAAAUUAAAAAUAAUGGUUAAUGCAUUUUUGUAUUUUGAAAUUAAUUAUUGUUUUAAUUAUUCCAAAUGUUAUAUUUUCGCUUAUUUUUCAUAAUACGGAUACUUUUAUUAUAUACCGCGCUACACAUUCCUAAUUAAUAUUAUUAAACUGUAUAAUUAAUUAUUUCCGCGAACAAACUUUUUUAUAAUAUUAUUAUUAUAAAAUUCCAAUUUGGUAUACGUUUUGAAAAUAUAAUAAACUAUAUAAAGAUUAGUUUAAAAGAUAUUUUGAUUUUCUUUAAUAGACGAAAAUAUAAAUAAUACCGGUUUCGUUUUAUUUACAAACGAUCUGGACGCAAACAAAACGAAUUAAAGGCGUAAAUAUUAAUAUUUCCAAAUAUAAAAUUUAACCUAUUUUUGCAAUUUCUAAUAAUAAAUAAUUUUUUCAAUUUACAAUUUACGCCGAAAAUAAUAUUUGGAAUAUCGGUUUAAGCAAAUUGGGGAAAUUGCUAGUUUUGAAAAAUAUUAAUUAUAAAUACAAAUAUUACGAAACCUGCCAAAAUAUUAAAAAAUGGUUUUCGGGAAAUAAAAUUCGUUUUAAAUUGGUAAUUGUAAUCGUUUUUAUUUAAUAUAACGGCGACGGACUUUUUAAUUGGAUAUAUAUUAAAAUAUAUAUAGGGUUAAAAACGUUAGAUUUAUUAGGUAAAACCAAAAUUAUAUAUUUUAUAUUACAUUAAUUACCGUUCACUACCAAAAUCGCGGAAAUGCAUAUAAAAAACAAAUUUAACAGGUUUUGGUUAUAAUUCCAAAUUUGUAAAUUCAUAUAUGCACUUUUUUUAUUAUAAUAAUCAUUACACUUUCUUUUUAUACCAUUGUAAUAAUUAUUAUAAUUUUUUAUUUUUUGUAUAAUAAUUAUUGCAUUUGCUAAUAUAAUUCUUAAUCUUUAUAUUUUAAUUGUGGCUGGUUUAAAAAAGGUUAAUCCCGGCGCUAUUAUUAUUAAAGUUGGUUUGUUUUCAACCACAGGUAAUGAAGUAAUAAUUAAUUUUACGAAAUUA
rnacentral:sRNA from 1 species